GUGGGGAAUUUUGGACAAUGGGCGAAAGCCUGAUCCAGCCAUGCCGCGUGUGUGAAGAAGGUCUUCGGAUUGUAAAGCACUUUAAGUUGGGAGGAAGGGCAGUAAGCUAAUACCUUGCUGUUUUGACGUUACCGACAGAAUAAGCACCGGCUAACUUCGUGCCAGCAGCCGCGGUAAUACGAAGGGUGCAAGCGUUAAUCGGAAUUACUGGGCGUAAAGCGCGCGUAGGUGGUUCAGCAAGUUGGAGGUGAAAUCCCCGGGCUCAACCUGGGAACUGCCUCCAAAAAUACUGAGCUAGAGUACGGUAGAGGGUAGUGGAAUUUCCUGUGUAGCGGUGAAAUGCGUAGAUAUAGGAAGGAACACCAGUGGCGAAGGCGACUACCUGGACUGAUACUGACACUGAGGUGCGAAAGCGUGGGGAGCAAACAGGAUUAGAAACCCUUGUAGUCC
rnacentral:rRNA from 1 species